rnacentral:rRNA from 1 species
UGGACCCACCUGAUUCCAUCCCGAACUCAGAAGUGAAACGAAACAGCGUCGAUGGUAGUGUGGGGUCUCCCCAUGUGAGAGUAGAACAUCGCCAGGC